rnacentral:lncRNA from 1 species
UUCUGAACCUGUGACUUGUGAAAUUCAUCUGUUACAUGGGCUAUUUCUGAAGAAGAUCAUGGAAUGGAUAAGCUUGGAUGAGGCCAUCUUUAUUUGAUUCCUUUUCUCUUCAACAUAAUAUAAUUGUGCAUUUGUGUGUUGCUUGAUUCUAAAAGUCCAAGGGAAUUCUGGGUUUCUAUUGACAUUUUUGUCUAUUGGAUUACUACCCAUUUGGUCAGAUCUUUUCAACUCUAAACUUUUAAAUUUUGUGCAUAGGGUAGUCUCUUCAUCUUCUCCUAACUUCU